rnacentral:rRNA from 1 species
GAUGAACGCUGGCGGCGUGCCUAAUACAUGCAAGUCGAGCGAACGGACGAGAAGCUUGCUUCUCUGAUGUUAGCGGCGGACGGGUGAGUAACACGUGGAUAACCUACCUAUAAGACUGGGAUAACUUCGGGAAACCGGAGCUAAUACCGGAUAAUAUUUUGAACCGCAUGGUUCAAAAGUGAAAGACGGUCUUGCUGUCACUUAUAGAUGGAUCCGCGCUGCAUUAGCUAGUUGGUAAGGUAACGGCUUACCAAGGCAACGAUGCAUAGCCGACCUGAGAGGGUGAUCGGCCACACUGGAACUGAGACACGGUCCAGACUCCUACGGGAGGCAGCAGUAGGGAAUCUUCCGCAAAGGGCGAAAGCCUGACGGAGCAACGCCGCGUGAGUGAUGAAGGUCUUCGGAUCGUAAAACUCUGUUAUUAGGGAAGAACAUAUGUGUAAGUAACUGCGCACAUCUUGACGGUACCUAAUCAGAAAGCCACGGCUAACUACGUG